UAGUGUAGUGGUUAGCACGUCUGCUUUGCACGCAGAAGGUCCUGGGUUUGCACCCCAG
rnacentral:tRNA from 1 species